UACGAAGGGGGCUAGCGUUGCUCGGAAUCACUGGGCGUAAAGGGUGCGUAGGCGGCUCUUUAAGUCAGUGGUGAAAUCCUACAGCUUAACUGUAGAACAGCCAUUGAUACUGAAGAGCUUGAGUACAGACGAGGUAGGCGGAAUUUAUGGUGUAGCGGUGAAAUGCAUAGAUACCAUAAAGAACUCCUAUUGCGAAGGCAGCUUACUAGGCUGUAACUGACGCUGAGGCACGAAAGCGUGGGGAUCAAACAGG
rnacentral:rRNA from 1 species